rnacentral:rRNA from 1 species
UACGGGGGGGGCAAGCGUUGUUCGGAAUUACUGGGCGUAAAGGGCUCGUAGGUGGCCAACUAAGUCAGACGUGAAAUCCCUCGGCUUAACCGGGGAACUGCGUCUGAUACUGGAUGGCUUGAGUUCGGGAGAGGGAUGCGGAAUUCCAGGUGUAGCGGUGAAAUGCGUAGAGAUCGGGAGGAAGGCCGGUGGCGAAGGCGGCGCUCUGGAACGUACCUGACGCUGAGACACGAAAGCGUGGGGAGCAAACAGG